rnacentral:lncRNA from 1 species
UCAAAGUAUAUUAAGUACUAGCAUACUGAAAUUCAUACAAUCUUGUCAAAGUAGCAAUAGUCAAACUCACGCACGAACACAUCACACAUGCAUUACUCCGGAAGUGCUGGUGGAACUCCUCCUCUCCGCGAGCGUCGAGUCGGCGUCCGAGGAGUCAACGACCCGAUGGGGCUCUUGACGGGACGAUCCGGCCGGCAGCGGGAGUUCUGCCGCUGUUGCUUUGUGUGGCCAGCUCCGGGGUACAUGAUCAUGCAGGUCUUCUCCUGGGAAGCGGAGUAUGUCCGCCAUUGCCAUGGAAGCGAAGAGACGCACGUUGAAGAACGACAUCGUGAAAAGAUUGGCUCUACUUGGCUUUGGGGCCUUCCUUUCUUGCACAAUGUCAG